rnacentral:rRNA from 1 species
AUUCCAGCUCCAAUAGCGUAUAUUAAAGUUGUUGCGGUUAAAAAGCUCGUAGUUGGAUUUCUGCUGAGGACGACCGGUCCGCCCUCUGGGUGAGUAUCUGGCUCGGCCUUGGCAUCUUCUUGGGGAACGUAACUGCACUUGACUGUGUGGUGCGGUAUCCAGGACUUUUACUUUGAGGAAAUUAGAGUGUUUCAAGCAGGCGCACGCCUUGAAUACAUUAGCAUGGAAUAAUAAGAUAGGACCUUGGUUCUAUUUUGUUGGUUUCUAGAGCUGAGGUAAUGAUUAAUAGGGAUAGUUGGGGGCAUUAGUAUUUAAGUGUCAGAGGUGAAAUUCUUGGAUUGCUUAAAGACUAACUUCUGCGGAAGCAUUUGCCAAGGAUGUUUUCAUCA